UACGUAGGGGCCUAGCGUUGUCCGGAAUCGUUGGGCGUAAAGCGCGCGUAGGCGGUUACUUAAGUCGAAUGUGAAAGCCCUCGGCUUAACUGAGGAAGUGCAUCCGAAACUGAGUAGCUAGAGUACGAAAGAGGGUCGCGGAAUUCCCGGUGUAGAGGUGAAAUUCGUAGAUAUCGGGAGGAACACCGGUGGCGAAGGCGGCGACCUGGGUCGAGACUGACGCUGAGGCGCGAAAGCGUGGGGAGCAAACAGG
rnacentral:rRNA from 1 species